AUGUUCAAAAGAAAGAAAAAGAAAUUCAAAACCAAGUUUCAUCAAAAUGACAAAUCCUUUUAUCUGUAUUUUUACUGUUACAUUGACCAAGAACCUGCAUCAAAACAGUAUACUAUACAUACAAAAAAACUACUCCAAAACCUGUCCAAAGACUUGCACAGAAGUAUCAUACAAAAACCUGUUGUUGCUGUCAAACCUGCUCCACCAACCUGCUGCAAAACAACAAGAAUUGCUCAAAAUAAAAGGCAUUACAACAUGCAAUUAUAUUUUUUCAAAUUUCUCCCUCCAAUUUCACUUAUGUUUGGCUAUAAGACAGUAGGAAAAUCAUAG